GCUGGGCAUGGUGGUGCAUGCCUGUAAUCCCAGCUACUCAGGAGGCUGAGGCAUGAGAAUCGCUUGAACCCAGGAGGCGGAGGUUGCAGUGAGUCGAGAUCGCGCCACUGCACUCCAGCCUGGGUGACAGAGUGAGACUCUGUCUCAA
rnacentral:SRP_RNA from 1 species